CUUCCACUGACAUCUUAUCACUGCUUCUGCUAUUUUCGAUUGAGCAAGGACUAAGAAAGUUCAGAUUGCCGUCGGUAGCUUCAGACACUCUAGACUGUAUAACCAUUUCAUUGGAAUGUGGAUUUGCUUCAGACUUUAUUGGUUCUGAGUCUAUCAACAAGAGACUGAACAUAUCACCAUCGCAUUUACUAGCUAGAGACUCAGAACCCUCCACAGACGUAAGAUCCUCCUCUUCCGCUGACAGCUUAUCAUUGCUAGCUUCGCCCAAUCUAGAUUGUAUAGCCGUUUCAUUCGAAAGUGGAUUUGCUUCCAACUUGUUCGGUUCUGAGUCUACCAAUAUCUCAUUAUCACAUUUACA
rnacentral:lncRNA from 1 species